GAUGAACGCUGGCGGCGUGCCUAAUACAUGCAAGUCGUGCGGAAAGGCCCUUCGGGGUACUCGAGCGGCGGACGGCUGAGUAACGCGUGGGAAUCUGCCCUAAAGUGAGGAAUAACCUCGAGAAAUCGAGGCUAAUGCCGCAUAUGGUCUUCGGAUUAAAGCCUUCGGGCGCUUUAGGAGGAGCCCGCGUUCGAUUAGCUAGUUGGUGAGGUAAUGGCUCACCAAGGCUACGAUCGAUAACUGGUCUGAGAGGAUGAUCAGUCAGACUGGAACUGAGACACGGUCCAGACUCCUACGGGAGGCAGCAGUAAGGAAUAUUCCACAAUGGGCGAAAGCCUGAUGGAGCAACGCCGCGUGCAGGAUGAAGGCCCUCGGGUCGUAAACUGCUUUUAUAUGUGACGAAUAUGACGGUAGCAUAUGAAUAAGGGUCGGCUAACUACGUGCCAGCAGCCGCCGUAACAC
rnacentral:rRNA from 1 species